GGCGACCUGCGCAACUGGCGAUGAGGCGGCCCACGGCCGCCGAGGUGGACCAACCACCGUGGAGCGCGGUGAGCGGUGCGAUGCCGCCUCAGUCAGCCGUUCGCCUGGGCAGCCCUC
rnacentral:ncRNA from 1 species